rnacentral:rRNA from 1 species
UACGUAGGGGGGCAAGCGUUGUCCGGAUUUAUUGGGCGUAAAGAGCGUGUAGGCGGCCAUGCAGGUCCGUUGUGAAAACUCGAGGCUCAACCUCGAGACGCCGAUGGAAACCGCAUGGCUAGAGUCCGGAAGAGGAGAGUGGAAUUCCUGGUGUAGCGGUGAAAUGCGCAGAUAUCAGGAAGAACACCCGUGGCUAAGGCGGCUCUCUAGUACGGUACUGACGCUGAGACGCGAAAGCGUGGGGAGCGAAACAGG